rnacentral:rRNA from 1 species
UAGGGAAUUUUUCACAAUGAGCGAAAGCUUGAUGGAGCAAUGCCGCGUGAACGAUGAAGGUCUUUAAGAUUGUAAAGUUCUUUUAUUUGGGAAGAAGACUUUAGCAGGUAAUGGCUAGAGUUUGACUGUACCAUUUUGAAUAAGUGACGACUAACUAUGUGCCAGCAGUCGCGGUAAUACAUAGGUCGCAAGCGUUAUCCGGAUUUAUUGGGCGUAAAGCAAGCGCAGGCGGAUUGAAAAGUCUGGUGUUAAAGGCAGCUGCUUAACAGUUGUAUGCAUUGGAAACUAUUAAUCUAGAGUGUGGUAGGGAGUUUUGGAAUUUCAUGUGGAGCGGUGAAAUGCGUAGAUAUAUGAAGGAACACCAGUGGCGAAGGCGAAAACUUAGGCCAUUACUGACGCUUAGGCUUGAAAGUGUGGGGAGCAAAUAGGAUUAGAUACCCUAGUAGUCCACACCGUAAACGAUAGAUACUAGCUGUCGGGGCGAUCCCCUCGGUAGUGAAGUUAACACAUUAAGUAUCUCGCCUGGGUAGUACAUUCGCAAGAAUG